UGUGCCUACGGGGGGCAGCAGUGAGGAAUAUUGGUCAAUGGGCGCGAGCCUGAACCAGCCAAGUCGCGUGAGGGAUGAAGGUUCUAUGGAUCGUAAACCUCUUUUAUAAGGGAAUAAAGUGUGGGACGUGUCCUAUUUUGUAUGUACCUUAUGAAUAAGGGUCGGCUAACUCCGUGCCAGCAGCCGCGGUAAUACGGAGGAUCCGAGCGUUAUCCGGAUUUAUUGGGUUGAAAGGGUGCGUAGGCGGCCUUUUAAGUCAGCGGUGAAAGUCUGUGGCUCAACCAUAGGAUUGCCG
rnacentral:rRNA from 1 species